CAAUUAGUAACUCCUGCUCAAUGACCUUUAAAUAGCCGCAAUAUUAUGUGCUAAGGUAGCAUAAUCAUUUGCCUUUCAAUUAAAGGCUAGUAUGAAAGGACCCACGAGUUAAAUUCUUUAUAAUUUUGAUUACUUUAAACUUACAUUUAAGUAAAAAAGCUUAAAUCAACAGAGAAGACGACAAGACCCCGUCGAACUUAAAAUUACAUUUUUACUGGGGCGGUAAAAAACUAAAUCUUUUUAUCACUAAAACCUAACCAACCUGUAAAAAAGAUAAAACCAAGUUACCGCGGGGAUAACAG
rnacentral:rRNA from 1 species